UACGUAGGUGGCAAGCGUUGUCCGGAUUUAUUGGGUUUAAAGGGUGCGUAGGCGGCUUUGUAAGUCAGUGGUGAAAUACUCCAGCUUAACUGGAGGGGUGCCAUUGAUACUGCGGAGCUUGAGUACAGAUGAGGUAGGCGGAAUUGACGGUGUAGCGGUGAAAUGCAUAGAUAUCGUCAAGAACACCGAUAGCGAAGGCAGCUUACUGGGCUGUAAACUGACGCUGAUGCACGAAAAGUGUGGGGGAUCAAACAGG
rnacentral:rRNA from 1 species